rnacentral:tRNA from 1 species
GCGGAAAUAGCUUAAUCUUAAUGGUAGAGCAUAGCCUUGCCAAGGCUGAGGUUGAGGGUUCAUCCUUCCGCUCUUGGCU